rnacentral:rRNA from 1 species
AUACGGAGGGUGCAAGCGUUAUUCGGAAUCACUGGGCGUAAAGGACGCGUAGGCGGAUUGGCAAGUCAGAUGUGAAAUCCUACAGCUUAACUGUAGAACUGCAUUUGAAACUGCUAACCUAGAGUAUGGGAGGGGGAGAUGGAAUUAGUGGUGUAGGGGUAAAAUCCGUAGAUAUCACUAGGAAUACCGAAAGCGAAGGCGAUCUCCUGGAACAUAACUGACGCUAAGGCGUGAAAGCGUGGGGAGCAAACGGGAUUAGAAACCCUAGUAGUCC